rnacentral:misc_RNA from 1 species
AAGGUAAAAGAAUAAAUAAUACUACUCACAAAUUACUUUUGGAGUUAAUGUUCUGUUUCUGUCAUUGCUUUUGCAAGAAAUAUUUUAUGCAUUUUUUGGUGUUUGGAAUACGUAAAAAAGUUGCUCAAUAGAAGAUAUUUUCCUUUUCAAAGGGAAAUGCAAGGAAAAUAAUUUCCUGUAAGUCAUUUCCAGACUUAUACAAACUCAUAAAAACGAAAAGAACCUAUAAAAAAACCAUAUAGACUUAUAUCAGCUAGUCAAGUGACCACCAACAAUUGCAUCAGGAUCUCACAUUCACCACAACUGCCCACAACCACAACAAUUUACCACCUCCUUUUUAGUAAUUUUCUAACAUUCAAUUAAAAAUGAAAAGGUCCGUGACUGAA